AUUCCAGAUGCACACUGAUUGUGUAAAGGUAAGAAAAGGACAGUUGGGAUACUGUGAUGUGGGCAUAGUGAAGAGGUGUGGCUGGUACAUGGUGAGAUGUGGAUUUAGGGAUUGAAAAGCUCUGUUUUAUGCCAAAGAGUUUCAACUUCUCCAUACAGACAAUGGGAAAUUAUCAUUAUUGUUUUGCACUUCAAGUGUUUAUUUAAAAAUACUGCACACAUAUUGUAUGUCACUGUUUAAAGGUGAUCAUAUACUUAAAGAUUUUUCCCUUUUCCUUUUUCAGUUGGGUUCCCCCAACUCUUCUCAGUAUCUGCUCUCCCUUCCCUAUACACCUCUUUCCUUCCCCAAUUCGUGUGAACACUUACGUUGUAGCCUUUGUUUAUUUUCUCCUUGGUUACAUAAUCAUAUUCAAGUAUGUGUGAAUAUAUAUAUAUUCAAUAUCCAUAUACACACAACUUUUUUUGGCCAUUGUUUGCUUUAUGAAAGAACACUUUGCAUAUUUUUCAGCAGUUUGCAUUUCUUACUCAACUAUUCUUAGAGGAAAUAUCUCUACCUCCACAGGUGGAGUUCAUUGAAGGGAUGGACAUGACCCGAAUUUUAUAUCAGAGGUGUCAUGUUGGAGGAGACGAUGAAUUAAAAAGGUGUUGGAAACUAGAGGAGGAGGGUAAAUUGAUAAAUAAGCAGGUAACAGAUGAUGGGACCUGAGCAAAUGCAGUUUUGAUAAGAACCUGUUCUUAGCACAUUGGAGCCUCAAAUAAAAAACGAGUUGCCAUAUAUAUAUAUAUAUAAUCUCUCUCUCCAUAAAAUGCCAAGGGCCACCAUUAUUAAAUUCUCAAAUUUUAUAAAUAGAUUCUUUGAAUGUGCUGCUUGGAGAAACGUAGGUUCAAAAUACCACUAGCUUUGCUAGAGUUUUUAGAAAGGUGCAUCAUUCAUCCACACACAUCCAUAUUUCUCUACUUCCUCCUUUAUUCUCCAAAUUUUUCUGCAAAAUAUCUUUAAUCUCAAACUUAUUUUGGAACUUAAAUGGCAUAUGGGCACACAGCAAGAGGGUGGCAAUCUGUGAACCAGUACACAGCCCUCAACAAGAACUGAAUUGUGGCAUCUCAUUCUCCCCCCAGUUGUACUGAGAUAAAAUUCACAUACAGUGUUGUGUAAAUUUAAGGUGUGUAAUGUGUUGAUUUGAACACACUUAUAUAAUGCAAAAUGAUUACUACAGUGGCAUUAGUUAAUUCCAGCAUCAGUUCGAAUGAAAAUGGUAUCUCACUAUUGUUUAAAUUUGCAUUUGCCUCAUUGUGGAUGAAUAUUUAUUUAUUUAUUUAUAAUAUUGUGGAUGGAUAUUUAUUAUUUAUUUAUUUAUUUAUUUAUUUAUAUAUGGAUUUAAAAUCCCAAUCUUGAUCUAAAUUGAUGCUAUAAGAGGAAAUGAAAAUUAGUGUAUACUGGAGAAUGAAUCCAUAAAUUUGGUAUAGCACCAUUUAUCUUCAUAACAUUUAAAUUUCUCAGUUUGCUACAUUAAGUCAAACUCUUACAGUCAGGAUUUAUCAAGGCAGUUGUAUUUCAGAGCUCAACUUGGGACACAGAACCUAUCUUUGAGGCAGAGGACUAUUUGCUUAUGAAAGAGCAAAAUCAUAAUUAAUUUUAAAGGCAGUGGAGAGAAGGUAAAGGCAUAAAAGGUGAUGAACUUCUUUUCUUCAUUUGAGCAAUUUGUUUGAAUUUAUAUGUUUUUGAUCUGUCAUACCUUCCCAAUUUGAAUAACUCUUUGUGUGGUUAUAAAGGUGAAUUAAAAUCAGUGCAAAAUACUGGUCUCAGAUGGCAGCUGAUCACAUCUGCAUGAAGCCUUUGCUUUCCUGUUUACUACACAACUGACUGGAAUGUGGACUGGAAAAAAGUGACCCUUUUAACAAUCAUCUACAUUCUAUGUAGAGUGCUUUUGAUAUAAAGAAGUACGGUGUGAUUUGAAAUGGUGUUUGAACUGCCCCUUAAAUAAUAAUUAAUUUUUCUUUUAAAUGAAGCUUUUGUUUUAAGUGAAAAAAAUUUUUGCUCCUAUGAAAUAAAAACAGGAAUAUAGGAAGUACAGGGUGGUCCAUAUAACAUAAUAGAUCACUAUAACACAAGACACAAAAUGGGAACUGUUUUUCAUGUAACCUACGCAAUAGUGGCCGACUUCCCACAUAACAGAAAAAUAAACCCUGGUAAGGAAACUAGUGAUUUUUUCUUAAUUGAUUUUGAAUUUUAGAGAGGCAUUUUGAAGAGAAAAAAGAGAAAGAAGGAUGGAAGGAUAAAAAGAAGGAAGGAUAGAAUGAAUCAAUCAAUUAGUCUUGGGAUUUUGGGCAGUGGAACGGUUCUGGUUCAAACUUUCCUCCUACCAUUAUUAUUACUAUUAUUUUUUGGAGUAAGUCACUUAAACACCCCAAGUUUUGUUUUCUUCACAUAAGAAGUAGAGAUAACAAUACAUAUCUUAAAGAGUUUCUAUGAAAAUGAAGUGAGUGACUUUAUGCAUUGAGUAAUUUAUUCCUGACACACAUAGUAGCUCUUUCCCUUCAAAAUUUUCCUUUGGGAGUGUAGAAAUAUUUUUGGGAGUGUAAAAAUAUUUUUUUCCACAUCUAUAGAAUUAGAAUGAACUGUUUUCAUUGAAUGUAUUAUUUUGAACAAAUUCUGAUGCCAUUCCUAAGUGGCCCAAAACACUAAAAUUUUCUUGUAGGAUACAUUUUAUUCUAUACAGUUUAAACUUGGCAGCAUUUCUCCAGUGUAUUCCCAGAAUUUUAGUCUAAUGAAAUCUCCCUUAUAAAGAAGGUUUUCUUAAUCCCAUUCAUUUGGGAAAUGCUGAACUCUACCCUGUUUCCCUUUUGAGAAGUCCUCUGGUCAAGGAAAUUUAAAUUUGUUUAAGCCUGUGUUUCCUACUUUAUUUGGCCAUGGAAAUUCUUUGUAGGUAGCUUCUAUUUAUACGCCAUGGAAUAAGUUGAUCCAAUUUACUAUACCAACCCUAUAUGCAAAUAUGGUCAUACUUUUUAUUUUCAAAAAUUUUUUUGAAGGCUUGAUUUCCCAUGACUAGCAGGAACUCUCAUGUUGGGCCAAUAGCUCCAUCACUCCCCAUCCUACCUGCAUUCUCUUGAGUUGUCUAAGACCUCUGACACUUACUCAGUCCUAAUGGAGGUUUUUCUUUUUGCAAAUACAGAGCAGAGGGUGAACAGUAAUCCUGAUUUUCCUCUGCUGAAGACUGGUUUUGCACAGUCCAACAGAAGCUGGCCUAUAUGCCUCUCUUUGUUAGUCCUGAUAUUGAUCACUGGUGCCCUGUACUGGGGCACUAAUGUUAGAGUGCCAUUUUAUAAUAAUUUCUCAGUCACAGAUCCACAGAGUGCAACACAGUUUAGAACGUCUGGCUCCAGAGUCAGCCUUGCUUCCUAAGCACAGAGGCUCUAAUGCUGCAUCUGAGUGUCCAGCUUGGAUUCCACUUGCCCUCUUAGUGAGUUCUUGCUUGGGGAUUUGGUGUUCUUUUGGACCAGGAGACCAUGGACAGACUCGACUUAGUCUAUUUUAACAGUCUUUCAAACCUCACAUUUGGGAAAUAGAUGGUAGAAUCUUUGUAGCUUUCUUUCCUGAAGUCCUGUGGUCUCUCUAUUCAAAUUGGUUGAACCCAUCCCUUGGGCUCUGGAAUGACAAAGAGUAUCUGUGAGGAGCAGACUCAUUAAGUCUGAUCAGGGUCAUAGUAUAACUUUCCCUGGGACAACAAUUCCCUCCUUACCCUAUAUUUUCAUAAUUGAGAUGGGUCAUUCAACUGAACCAAGAGAUAUCUAUUACAUGCCAACCAUGUAUAAGGAAACUGUUUAAGACUGAGAUAUAGCGGUGCACACAAAAGAUAAUGUUUUUGCUCCGUUGGAGCUUAUGUUUUAACGUAGAAAAUGUACAUUAAAAUACAUUAUUUAAUGUAUAUUAAAUAAUAUACAUUAAUGAUGAAUCCUUUGAAGGAAGGAUAAGGGGAUAUAGUGAUGGGGGUAGGACUUUAUUGUGUAUAGCAUAGACAAUGAAGUCUUCUCAGCUAGAGUCUCACGUGAGCCUAGAACUUGAGGAAGUGAUGGAGCCUCUUCUAGGCAGAGGAAAAUAUAAUUGCACUAAGGGAAGGUUGCAUGGAAUGUUUGAGGAAUAGCUAGUAGUCUAGUGUUACUUGGUCAGAGUUAGUAAAAGAGUGAUAGGGGAUGAAAUUAGAGAAUAUGCAGGGUAAGUCGAGGAGAUGAUCCUGAGUGAUAUGGGAAGCCAACGGAUUGUUGUCAACAAAGUUUUGACAUGAUUUAAUUUAUAUAAAGAUUAUUGGAUACUGUAUGGAGAAUAGACUCUGAGAAUGACAUGGUUAGAAACACAGAGAUACAUUUAAAAGCCCAUUGCAAUAGCAUAGUGACAGAUGACAGUGAUUUCAACUGGGGUGUUAGAAGUAUUAAGAAGUAGAGUUCCUGUCAUGGUGCAGUGGAAAUGAAUCUGACUAGGAACCAUGAGGUUGUGGGUUCGGUCCCUGGCCUCGCUCAGUGGGUUAAGGAUCCGGCAUUGCUGUGAGCUGUAGUGUAAGUCGCAGACGCUGCUUGGAUCCUGCAUUGCUGUGGCUGCAGCGUAGGCUGGCAGCUACAGCUCCGAUUAGGACCCUACCUAGGAACCUCCAUAUGCC
rnacentral:lncRNA from 1 species